GUGGUGGCUCAGUGGUAGAGCACUUGCCUAGCAUGUGUGAGGCACUGGGUUCAAUUCUCAGCACCACA
rnacentral:tRNA from 2 species